rnacentral:rRNA from 1 species
CCUACGGGUGGCUGCAGUGAGGAAUAUUGGUCAAUGGGCGCGAGCCUGAACCAGCCAAGCAGCGUGAAGGAUGACUGCCCUACGGGUUGUAAACUUCUUUUAUCAAGGAAUAAAGUGAGGCACGUGUGCCUUUUUGUAUGUACCUUAUGAAUAAGCAUCGGCUAACUCCGUGCCAGCAGCCGCGGUAAUACGGAGGAUCCGAGCGUUAUCCGGAUUUAUUGGGUUUAAAGGGAGCGUAGUUGGGUUGUUAAGUCAGUGGUGAAAGUGUGGGGCUCAACCGUAAACUUGCAAUUGAUACUGGCAGUCUUGAGUACAGUUGAGGUAGGCGGAAUGCGUGGUGUAGCGGUGAAAUGCUUAGAUAUCACGAAGAACUCCGAUUGCGAAGGCAGCUUACUAAACUGCCACUGACAUUGAUGCUCGAAAGUGUGGGUAUCAAACAGGAUUAGAUACCCGGGUAGUC